UAUUAGGGAUGUGUGUGAAAGAAACUUGGAUUGACUAUAAGGGCUUGUUUGGUUCAUUCAUUUUGGCUAUGGAAUGAGAAUCAGUUUGAUCAAAUUCGGUUAAUUUUGUUUGGUUCGUAUGAAUUGGUUUGGAAUUCCUAUUCCGGACUGGAAUGGGAAUGGCCUAUUAGCCUUUAACUUGAUUCCGGUCUUCUAGCCCGGAUUGAGAUUUCAUUCCGGAAGCCCACUAAGUUCUCGAAGCCCAUGUGACCAUCUCACCCUCCUUCUCUUCACCCCUUUCUCAUCAAAAAAAAAAAAAAAAAAAAAACAUAUCCUCUUUCAAAAUCAUAUCCCUAACCCACAUCAAUAAAAGUUUUUAAAAAUAAAUUUGACAUUUUUUUUGAAAAACUUAUUAGAGAAUAGUAUUAUAUUUUUCAUAAAUUUUAAAUACUAUAAAUUUAUAUUUGAGAGUAAAAUUAGUAUUAUAGUAUCCUAUAAUUUUUUUAGUUUAUACGAAACAAACAAUGAAAUGUGAAUAACUCAUUCCAAUUCUCAAUCCACAAAUAAACCAAACGUCUUGAGGGAGUGAGCCAUUCCAAUUAUCAUUUCAAUGCAUUUCCAUUUCAUUAUCCAUUCCAAUUCCAUUCUUGAACCAAACAACCCCUAAUAGUGCUUAACAAUUAGGGUAUACUUUUCAGAGUCAAAUUUGGAAAUAUAAUUAAGGGAAAACUUCAAAAACCCCCCCUGUGGUUUCGUGCAUUCUCACUUUGCUACCCUGUGGUUUAAAACGUAUCAAUUUACCCCCCUGUGGUUUCAUUUUUAUCUUUUCGGAAGCUUUUUCGUUAAUAUUUCGUUAAAUUAUAUACAAAAAACUUCAGAUAACCAUCUAUAUUUAUCAAAUAGUCACUUUAGUAUCCUUUAAUUUUAACUUUGUCACUGAUUUUAAAAAAAAAUAAUAAUAAAAUUGAUAACAAAAAGAUAAAAACGAAACCACAGGGGGGCAAAUUGAUACGUUUUAAACCACAGGGUAGCAAAGUGAGAAUGCACGAAACCACAGGGGGGGUUUUUGAAGUUUUCCCUAUAAUCAAAUUAGGAAGCUGACUCAAAUUUUCCAGUGGUCAAUUGAAUGCAAGAAUCACCUCAUACGCACUAAUAUAAGUGGUGGGGAGAAAAGAAAAAAGAAAAAAAUAACACUUAACCUAUUAUGUAGUGGUGGGGAUUUAGCUUUUAACUGUAUGUUAGGUUUCUUCUUAAAAGAUCUAUCCUUUAAGUAAUAUGAUAUAAAAGUAGUGGUGGUGAAUGAAACUCUUACCUAAUAGAAUCCCCAUAAGUUACCUCUUCCAAUUGUGAACACGGUAGUUCAAAUAAUUUUCAUGCAUAUUCACCUCUCACUUUAAUUUCCAUGUUUGAUUCAUUCCUCUUUUAGAAUCAAAGAAUUGUUGAAUUACAAGGCUUUACUAAAGUGAUGCUUUUGUUUUUUUUUCCAAAAUUCUGCGCCAUGCGUUGACGAAUGGCGAUUCUCUUCCGAAGAAAAAAAAAAUGUUUGAAAUUGAUAAUAGGGUUAAUUUUAUACAGAUCCCUACAAAAAUAAUAAAUAACAAAUAUAUUCUUACAAAUCUUAACUUUCGUAUGUUGUCAUUGCAAAAGUUCUGAUAUUUUCAAAUAUGUCCCUACCGUUAGAAUUCGUUAGAAAAAUUUAUUUAACCAUAAAUUAAAUACUUAAGUCUGAUUAGUUUUUUAUAUUUUUACUCAUUUAUAUUAUAUUGUUAUAGUUUUUGGAGGGAUAUAUUUGUGAUGGCAAAAUUAAAAAUAUAAACAGCUAUCUAACUGUCCUCUAACAAUAACAAACCAGAGGGACAUAUUUGAAAAUAUCAAUACUUUUGUAGGAAGUACAAUUAUAAAAGUUGAACUUUGUAGGGAUAUAUUUGUCAUUCACUACAUUUGCAGGGACUUGUAUGAAAUUUACCUUUGAUAAUAAUGUAAUCCAGGUUUAUAAAAGUAAAUUGCAAAUUAAUUACUCAAAAUUUUUUCAAGCAGAAAAAAGAAUUUAAAACAAUCUACUAAACUUGAUAUAGAUCUUUUGCUCUUUUUAUUAUAUAAUAUAAAACAACCAUUAUUCUUCAAAAGUUUAAGUUAUUAGAUGACAGUGUUUUUAAUAUUUCAUUCCCCCUCACGUCUACGAUAGGACGUGAACUUAAUUAAAUAGGAGGAAAUUAAAGGAGACUAGAGACUAGGGAAAUUCAAUAAAAUGAUAAUUUACUAUUAAUAUAUAUUCAGCAUUGUUUUUCUCCCUCUCUUUGUUUUUUUUUUUUUUUUUUUUUUUUUUUUUUUUUUUUUUUUUUUUUUUCUUCUACGUAGACCUCCUCAGCUAUUGGUUAUUUUGCUCGCCACCGGUAGUCUGAUUGGUAAUGCACCUAUUUUCCAAGAGAGAAGUCGCGAGCUUGAUCACGUGUUUAUAAUAUAGACCUUCUUAAUUUUCUAAUUUUAUAAGAAUCGGUUAACUAUAAUCAAACAAAGUGGUGAAAUUAUAUCACUUUACGAUUUUAUUAGAUUUAUAAACUUAAUAUUUUUAACAAAUACCCUAAAUCAGUUUUAACGGUGUGGAUCGUUGAUUUGAAUACCCUAAGAUCGAAAACGAGACUAUAGUACCGGAGCUCCGGUACUAUUGAUAGUAUAGGAGACUAGCUCUAUAUACUAGUGCUUUUUUAACCUAUUUAUUAAUAAUAGUAGUGGGGAUUCAGCAAUGGCUUUGAUUUUAUGUUACUAGUGUGAGAUCCACCGCCAUUAUAAGCAGAGUUCCCUGCGUACAUUAAGUUGAAUUAAUCUUAUUUUUUACUUCUCCCAUUAUCUUCUUUCACAACAAUCAUAGUAAGAUUCAUCUAAUCUCCGUUAUACAUGUCCGAGUAUUUUUAAAUCAUGGAUUCGAUAUCAUUGAUUUCGAAUUCUUUUAGACUGGGGUCUCAUUUAGAUAAAAAUAAACCGAAAGCACUUUAAGUACUAUAUAUGGCUCAUUUUGAAAGUACUAUUCAAUCUUUUAAACUUUGAGUUUUGCGCUCUAAUCUGUCAAUUCGUUUAUUUUAAGCUAUAUAAUAGCACUUUAUUACAGAAUUUAGGCGCGCCAUUUAUGUUAUGAACUUGAUUAGAGUAUUUCAUAUAACUCAUGUGACAAUAUUUUGGGUAAAUGUAUAGCGUGCUUAAAUUUUAUAACAGAAGAACCAUUAAAUCAAUUUACUAGACUAUAUAUUAAAAUUAAAUUUUUUAAAAAUUAGAUUGUUGUGUGAAAACGGUCCUCGGUUGAAAUAAGUUUUGUACAUUUUUUCCUCACAUUUAGUUUUCAUGUUUGACUCAUUCCUUCUUUAGAAUCAAAGAAUUUUUAAAUGAAAACACUUAAUUAAAGUAAAGUGAUGUUUAAUUGCAUUCUUUGUGUGGAAUUCCAUGCACCGGUAGUAAUUAAAUAGAGGAGGGUAUGAGUCUUCAGUCUUGGUGAGUGAUAAUUAUGUCUUGAAGAAAAAAGUGUUUGAAAUUAAUUAAGUAUGCAUCCGGGUUAUAAAAGUAAAUUGUUAAUUAAUUAAUUACUGAAACUUAUUUUCUCAAGGAAAAAAAAUUUAAAAUAAUUUACAAGUUAGGGUUACCUUUCACUGAUAGUCGGGUUGGUAAGGCCCCUCCCUUCUAAGGGGGGAGGCUGCGAGAUUGAUCCGGCUUAUAUGUGUAUAUAUAUAUUUAUGUUUUACUAGUAUUCUUAGAGGAGAGGAAGUUUACUGUAUCACACUUGUACCAUAUUAUCAGUAACAAGCCAAUCAUAUCUCUUGAUCAAUUGAAUGUCAGAAUCACAUGACAUGCACUAAUAUAUAUAAGAAAAGAAAAGAAAAGAAAAACAUUUAACCUAUUUAAUAGUUAUGACACAUCCAUAAUUUAGAAUAGUUUUAUAAAUUAAUGAGAUAUUAGUAGGCUAAACCUUAUCAAUCCGACUGUAGCAUUUUGGAUGGUAGUUAGGCCCAGGAGGUGAAGAGGGUUAAUUGUGCUAGGGUUAAAAUAGUUCUAAGAUAGGCAAUCUCCUAGGAAAGUGGGGUGACAUAGUCAAUCACCAUUCGAAAGUGUGAAAUGAGAUUCAGUUGAGCCAAGAUUUGAAUAACAGACUAAAUCAGGAUCUGGAAAUGACAAGCUAAGCAAAAGUCUGAAUGACAAGGCUAGUGAGACGAGUCUCAUAUCGCCUGAUACUUGUGAGUGUGCUUAAGUCUGACAAGAACGUCAGGGCUUAAAAAUGGGAGAAAUUAAAUGUGACAUUUCCAAGAUCUAGAAUAACUCUAUAUAUAAGAUAUAAUCGAGUUAAAUCUUCUAACUGACUAUAGUAUUUUGAACGAUGGUUAGACCCAAGAGGUUAAAAUGGUUAAGUAUGCACCUAGAGGUAGAAUAAUUUUAGGAUGGAUGAUCGAUUUCUAUGGAAAGCGGGGCAUCACAAUAGUGUUAGAACAAUUACCGCACAAAAAUCUGAUUGUGAUUUAAAUCUAACUAAAUUUUAUUAUAAAUACAACUUACUUGCUAUAUCCAAAAAAAUACUUAAUUGAUCCGGAAGCGUGCGAGGCACUGCCCUAAGACGUAUUCCCGUCCUUACGUGCGGGAUUAACCGGAAACAACACCCCAAGAUACGACCGGAAUUUCUCCUCCUGCGAGCACGAUCGUGAAGAAGAUUGACGAAGACUCUUUCAACACCCAGCGAUAAGAAUCAAUCAAAAUAAAGAAAAUUGGAAAAUGGAAUAAACUUAAAAUAAAUUUUCUUUGAUCCCUUUAUUUUGUUUUUCCUCUGCAUCAUGUCACAUAAAGUAUAAACAGUAUGCGUUAUAUAGAUGUGGGAGUUGAACGUUGGUCCACAACGUUCGACCCACGUCGCUAAUAAUGAGCGCCAAUUAAGAAGGAAAACGUCAGCUCUUCAGCGGACGUUAAAAUUCCACUCAUUUAGGAAAUAAAAUAAUAUAUAAAACAUAUUAAUUAGUUAAAAUUAAUAAAAGAUAAUAAAUAAGUUAAUAAGAUAAUAAUAAUAAAAGAAAGUAAUUAGGAAAUUUUGAAUUUUACACCAACAAUCCCCCACAAAAUUCAAAAUUAUCGAAAUAGGAAUGAAACUUAAAAAUUAAAAUAAAUAAAUGAAUAAAUCACCGGGUGUUUAUACUAUGCAGUAGGCGAGGUGUCUUUAAAAGACUUAACCCCACUUAGUGUAAAUAGUUUCCAUCAGAAGGAAUCGGAGUGAAUCAGGUCUUGAACUACGUUCCUUUGUCCCAGACUUCUACUACCACACACACAGUACAGAGUUCUCCGUCGCGGGUCUGUGCGUUAAUGGCCAUGCACAGUACCUUAAUUUUUCAUAAGAGUUUCUAUGUAUAGCACAUUCACAUAGCCGCGGCCACAUACUGAUACUCUUAUAUAGGUGGUUUCCUCCAGGGAUGUGUGUAGAGUCAUAUCUCGCGAAAAUUAUCGCCUUGGAUUCCAUUAAGAGCUCUCAGCUCAACCUAAUCCACUACACAGAGCACUACUCACCAUGGGGAUGGAAUUGGAGCGAAAGCUCCUCUAUAAAAUUUGUAGAAAGUGCUCUUUGGCCAACCUGACAGCUUAUUUUUACCACAUUGAACCUUCUUCAAGGGAUCUCCUAUCACAAAGGUUGGGUUCCCACUGCAGGAAGGCCCUUUAUAGGCAAGAUCCCAUCCCCCUCGAUGACAGUAGGACUAUAGUCCUCUUCAGGCCUUUCAUCAAGCACUCUGCAAAAUUUUGAUCAGAUCUGAUAAAACUCAAAUUAAUAACAUUAUGAAGAAUAACCAUCUAAUAAAUUUAUGUCAAUAUAAUUUAUUUGCCAACUUUAGAAUUUACUAAAUUCUUCUCCAGGAUGAACAUUAAUAGUAAAACAGAUAAACAUAUGAGAGCAAACAUAAUAUCAAAAUUAAUCAACAGAUAAAAGAGUUUCCCCCCACAAGUUCUGAGAUACAUUAAGACUUAAGAUCAUGAUAUUAAUCAUGUGUCCAGUAGGGUUCUGUUCAACAACAAAUAGAUGCCCAAACAAUUUUAAAAGAUAUGUUCGAGCAAAAUAUAUAGAAUUUCACUAUUAUUUGACGUUGCAAACAGAGUAUAUUAACAAUACUGAAACAAUAAUAGAGAUGAUUAAAAUUUGAUUUACUGGUUUGAGACUAUGGCUAUAAGAAGUUGAGCAAACCACGGGUUCGAAUCCCACUGAAAACAAAUUUUUAUUUUAUUUUAUUUUUUUUCUUUUAUAAACAAAUUUAAAACACCCUAUAACAAAUAUGAGAAUAUAAUAAUUGAUAAUUAAACUAUAUGCAAUUAGCAAAUAAAUUAUAUGCAAUUAGAAUUUGAAAAUACUAAUUCUAAUUUAUUUAAAUUAGAACGACAAACAUACAAUCAAAUUUGUCAAACAAAAAUAACAUGCGAUAUCUUUCUAUUUUAAGCGAAAUAAUAAUUAAACUACAUACAUGAGUGUGCUAGUCUCGAACAGUAGUGCAGCGCAAGGGCGACAUGAUAAAAUUCCAGUAACAAGCUAUCAUGAGUAGACACUCCCCCACAAAAAAAUUAAUUUAAUAUCGAGGUUGGCAAGUAAUCCACAUAUAUCAGAUAUUAAACUAAUAAGAACAGAUAUUACAACGAAACAGUAUAUGUAUAUACGGUUACACUGAUUUUUUUUUUUUUAACUUAUAAAAAAAAAAACAGUGAAAACAAUAUACAUAUAGUUUUGAAAUCCAUAAUGUCCGUACCUUUUUAUUUUCAAAACAGCUACAAGUAAAGGCAUUUUUUUUUUUUUAAAUACUCAUCAAAUAAAAUGUAAUUUAAACAAGAAAUUACAUAAUAUGCAAUUAUAGGUUAAAAUGAUAAUUCCGAAAAUUUUGUAUUUGAAUGCCAAUUAUACAAACAAAUUAACUAACAAAUUAUAUACAUAUAAAAUUAAUUUAAUACGGAUUAGCAUUCGUCAGAUUUCAAUCACAAUCAAAUCGGAAUUACGUCUUAGAUUGUUGGAACAAAUACCGCACAGAAAUUUGAUUGUGAUUUAAAUCUAACUAAAUUUUACUAUGAAAAUAAAUAAAUCAACUUACAGAUGAUCGCUAAAUCCAAAUAAAUAUUUAAUUGAUCCGGAAGCGUGCGAGGCACUGCCCUAAGGCGUAUUCCUGUCCUUACGUGCGGGAUUAACCGGAAACAACACCCCAAGGUACGACCGGAAUUCCUCCUCCUGCGAGCACGAUCGUGAAGAAGGUUGACGGAGACUCUUUCAACACCCGAUGAUAAAAGAUCAAAUAAAUUAAAAUUAAAAGAAGAAAAAUUCCUCUCUCUGUCGUGUUCACAUCUCCACAUGAACAGUAUGCGAAGCAUACUAAUAUAGAGGGGAAUAGAAUGUAUGUAACCGUAGAAUCCAACCAACAUUUUAAUCCUAAUUAAUUACACAAAGCUAAUUAGAAAAUUUCAAAACCGCCCUAGAAUUCAUGCGCCACUAGAAGUCAGCGCAUGAAGCGCGUACGUCCGUAACGGCCGCGCCCGGAGCGGACGUCCGUUUUAAAGGACGUUAACAAUAAAAAUAAAUUAGGAUUAAUAAGUAAAAAUAGAGGAUUUUGAAUUUUUCUCCAACAGAUGACCAAGGACAUUCUACUUGGAAUGUGUUUAUGGUUACUAUUCAACUAUUUAUCGUAAAACAAACAUAUAUAUAAAAAGUGGAAGUACUUCAGUUUUUAAUUUACUAGUUCUUUUAAAUAAAACAACUCAAACAAGAAACUUCAGUUCGAAAGGCACUUAGGCUAUGUUUGGUUGGGGAACAAGGGUGGGGAUAAGGGGUUAUCCCCGCCUUGUUCCCCAGACACUAUUUUUACAAAAUUAAAAAUUUAAAUUUUAAAUUAUUUAAUUUAAAAUUUAAAAUUUUGAUAUUUUAAUUUUUUUUAUAUUUAGAAUUUGAUAUGUUAUUUUUUAAAUUAAAAUUACCAACUUUAAUUCUUAUCCCAUCUUACCUAACCAAACGUUAUUUUUCUUAUUCCCAGCAAUAACUCAAUUUUCAUCCAAACGCAAAAUUGAUCUAAUCCUCGCUUAUACCUCAAUUUAUAUCUAUACUCGGAAUACCCACUUUUUGCUUAUCCCCGAACCAAACGAUACCUUAGAAAGUAAUUUUCACUUGAAUUUAGUUCAAUUUGAAACCAAAAUGUUUGGAUUAAAUAGCUUCCAAAAAUAGUGGUAGUAGUAGCACAUUCAACAGAAUCUGGGCCAAACAGGAUGUCUUAAGGGCCCGUUUGAUUCGAGUUAUGUAAUAUUACCAAGUAUCUCGACAUAUCCAGGUAUUUUGGAUUUCGGCGUGAGAUUACUACUGAUGCUGCAUUAGCGCGUUUGGUUUAAUGCAGUAAUGUAAUACUAGAUUACAGUGUUUAUAGCAUUAAUACGUUUGGUUCAGUUUAUAAAAUUUAGUAAUCCUGACAUAAGAGUAUAGUUUUUUCCAAAAUUGCCUUUGUUGUGGUCAUUUGAAUAUUAGUUUUUACGGAAAUGACGAAUGGAGGGAAGGAGAUCGUGAUGCAUGAUUACCUGGAAGGACGACGCAAUAGAAGAUGAUAGGUGUUCGUGCGCGCGAGAGAGAGAGAGAGAGAGAGAGAGAGAGAAAGUGGCAUGAGAGAGAGAGAGGGAGGAAGGCGAGAGAGAGAUGAAAAUAAUAUUGUUAAUUAGAUUUGGGGUUGUUGGAGGGUAAAAUUGUCAUUUUACAUAAUAUAUAGUAUUAACGGGUUUCAGUAAUGCAAGAUACAUGACCCCCCCUCCUGUUAAUAUUUUCGAUGUAAUCCUGCUCGAUUUGUAAUGCUACAUUAACGAUUAGAUUACAUAGCCGAUUAACCAAACACAGUUAUCCUGAUAGAAUUGCCUGUAAUCCUGCCAGGAUAACUCGAACCAAACGCACCCUUAUUACNUUAGGAAAUAAAAUAAUAUAUAAAACAUAUUAAUUAGUUAAAAUUAAUAAAAGAUAAUAAAUAAGUUAAUAAGAUAAUAAUAAUAAAAGAAAGUAAUUAGGAAAUUUUGGAUUUUACACGAACAAAUAGUAGUGGGGAUUCAACAAUAUUAUCUUUAAUUUUAUGCACUUAGCUCAUAGCUAAAAGAAGUUUUGCACCUUUCAAUCUUUCAUGAACUAUAUAUCUCUCUUUUUUUCUUUUUUUUUUUUUUAAUCAAUCCAGUUUUAGGAGAUGAUUUAAUUAUCUUAUUCCAGGGGAACCAAAUAUGGAGUUUCUUUUUCUGUUUGAUGUAACAAGUCACUUCUUUUUUCCCUUUUUCUGGCUUCAACUUGCUUAUAUCUUAGGAUAUAAUUAAUAUAAUUAGGAAGAGUUUGUUCUCUUCUGCUACUCAUGAAUUAAUAUUAUCGUUUUGUCAGUAAUUAAAUUGAAAAAUACUAUCUGUACGCCUGCAUAUAGAUGCACAUCGAUCUCAUACCUCACUUAUCCGAGAAUUUAUAAACUCUUUUCUUGAGUCUCUUCUAUUAAAAUAAAAGAGUUAAUAAGAUCAGGGAGAAAAUAGUAGCUUUUGUAUGGAUGGAAUGUAAGAUUAUAUAACUUACACUAUCUAAAUAGGGUAUAUAAGUAGCCUCGAUCAAUUGAAUUUGAUCACUCUAACAAUUACGUAAAAGAAACGCCUAGAUCAUCCUAGAUCAUGGGAAAGUUUAUUUCACCUAUUGUUUCAAAGGAAUCAAUGGUAGCAUUUAUCUAUCACUAUCUGGCUCAUGCAGUUGACUCGUACUUUGAAUCGUUGAUAUAAGAGGUUGGGAAGUUCGAUUUUAUUUUUUUAAUAAAGUUUUGUGUAUCAAUAGAUUUCUUGUAAUUUUUUCAUCCAAAUUGUUUACUCGACAGCAAAAGAAAAUAAAAAUUUUAAGUCUCAUUUGUUUUCGUAUUUUUAUUUUCUUAAAUAGAAUUUUACAGAUUAUAAGAUACAGGAGUGGCUUUUACUUGACAACACAAAACAAAAAUAUGAAAACAACAAUUUUUUUUUUUUUUUUGUACUUCCAAUUUUUUUAAAACAAAUUAUCAUCUAUCACUUAAUUGGAUGCAUCAUAAGCUAUCCAAUUAUAAUAUCAAAAGAAAAGUCUAACCUCUGACACAUCAUAUCAUAUAGAAAUAGUGCUUAAAUAAGUGAAGAAAAGGUAACAAUACCGUAUAUAUAUAUAUAUAUAUAUAAAUAUAUAGCCCACUAAUGAUGCUUGUAAAACACCAAGUACUUGGUGCUUAUAAUUUUUUACCGUUAGUCUACUCUUCGGAUCAUUUUCAACCAUUAGAUUAUAAUAGUUCAAUGCCACCACCCCCACUAACCCUAGGGGCCAUAUCAUCCUAACCGCAUAUGUCUCUUAUCCAAUGGCUAAAAAUUACAAGCACCAAUAUACUUGUACUUUUCAAAGUAUGAGGAACUCAAUUAUAUAUAUAUAAUAUUAUAUAUAUAUAUAUAUAUAUACUAAUAUAUAUAUAGCCUUAGUCUUGUUCUAUACUAUCAUCCGAUGCCUAAAAAGUAGUUCGCCUUCGUUAUUCAUGCAAGUUGUUUUCGAUGAUGGAGCUUCGCGAAUCGAUAUAUAUACUUAUAUAUAAUAUAUAUAUAUAUAUAUAAUAUAUAUAUAUAUAUUAUAUAUAUAUAUUAGAGUAGCGGCUACUAUCUUAUAUGAGAUAUUUGGGCCCUUUCGUACUGCAUAAGUUGUUUUGCUAUGAUGGAGCUCCGGAAUCGAACGAUCCACCCGUUAAAAUAUGAUUAGAAGAAUUGAAACUUUUAGAAAAUAAAUUAUGCGUAAAUUCUUUCCGAGAAUCAUAAUAAUUCCCACUCAAUGGCGGCAUUAAAUGAGCGGUCAUAAAUCGAUACGACGUCCUAAAAAUGGAUGGAUCCUUCAAUUUAAGAUCGGAGUUAUUGAUUCUUAUCUAGAUAGGAAUAGAAUUUCUAUUCAAAAAUUCCAUCUAUUUGCAAUUCUUUUAGCACCUUUAAACCUGCACGCUAUUCCAUGAUACCGUCGUUUAAAAAUGUCAAUUCUUGUAAGCCGCUUUUGAUGCCGUAAGUGAAAUAGUAUGUCCGAAAAAAUUAUUGAAAUUGAAUAUCCUUAGAAGCUAAUACUCUAAGAUAUAUUACAGUAUGGAUGCGUCAAUACUCGAAAGCUUUAUAAUCGAAAGCGCAACUUGAAUAAGUACGAGGACACUCGUACUCAUAAAAGUAUAUGCUAAGCAGCCGACUCUAUAUAUAUAUAUAUAAUAUAUAUAUAUUACCUUUUUAUAUACUCUUUUCAACAACGUUGAUCGCUACGCAUUGACCGAAGCAUUGUAAGCGCUAACUAACCGUAAGAGUAGCUUUGCCUUCACAUAUCAAAAUUAUACAGAAUAGACCCGAGUUUUAAAGAAUCCUAAACACACGGCAAAAAUUACCAAUCGCCAAGAACGCCAGGCUCUCGUUUGCUAUCUCGUAUCAUCCGCUCAACCUGAGCUGCUCCACCUAAAAUCAAUACAAGUUGCUGUCAAUAUACUGUAUUUCGACCCCCCCCCUCCCCCCUUCCCCCGCCCCCCUCCUUUCUUUGGGCCUCUAAGAUCCAACCCACAACCACGACUCCCCUCCGAUACGUAUCUGAACAACAUAAAGAAAGUUAAAAAUUCGCCGCGUAGCGCGAAUACCACAUGCGCAACAAUCGGACACCAACCAACAAUGCACAAUACCCAUCGGAGGCCUAGGGUGCCAGGACUUCCCGCAUAUGCCGACCCAUUCCCCCAUCCACCCGCCCCCCGCCCCCCACCUCCCGUCACUCAACCCCCCCCCCCCCCCCCAAACAAAGCAACCACAUACCACCACACCACACCCACACGCACACCCACCACACACACCACAACCGCUGAUCCGGCCGGCGGUGAGGUGUGUUGGUUAGGCCGCCUGGUUCAGAUAUUUGGGUUUGGUGAGGAUAGGAACAAUUUCAGAUGAAAUAAUAUCUCAUCCUCCCGAGUCACUGCGAACGGUGCACCCGCAUCGCUCCACCUGAAAGCCCUGAAUUAUAUGAUCUCGUCCAAGUUCUUCGGAAUUGUUUCUCAUGUUACGCAUGGAGUAAUCAGAUUUAUCAUUGACAAAGAAACAAGUAACAAAAGAGUAACGCAUCGUCGCCUGAAAUUAAGUUCACGUAUUUAUACGGUUUUCUUUUUCUGAACAUAUGCAUGUUCUGCAUGAAAUUAGGCGAGCAGAUUUAAAAUGCCCCUCUGUUAAAGCUGUGUCCCAUCGGCCAUACCGUGUUAACAAGGUGUUAGCGGAGAGUCGACCCCUUGUAACCAACGAACAAGGGUCGAAAUCGCUUCUUUUUUGAACAUUAAUUAGCUAUGCAGAGUUUGUUCAUGACCAAAAUUUUGGAAGAUACUGUAAGGUAUUAUGUCAAAGGAACAUACUCAAUGGACCAAUGACCGUGUGCAUCGAUACUUGCAUUCUUUGAGUUGGUGAGACAUUUGAGUUGAUUGAACUCUUUAUAAUAUUGUGUGUGCCCGGAUUUUUUAAACAAAAGUAAACAAAAUUUGGAUUAAUUGAAGAGAUGAACAAGUUAAUAAUGCCGAAAGCUUCAAGAGGCCCGAACAUUUCUCCCAUAAAACCUAUUUUAUAUAUAUAUAUAUAUAUAUAUAAUAGGAACUUGCUUCCCAUAAAAGACUAUUAUAUAUGACGAAAUGCUUAUCGUUGAAGUGAAGACAUUCACCGCCCUCACGCCAACAAACAGAUAAUUGUUUGCAACGAAACAAUUUAGCGCACGCUACUCCUUUGUUCAUUUCAUUUAGAAAUAAUCACUUAGUUACUUGGAUAUAUGAAUAAUUAGGAUUGAAUUGAACGCUCAGUACCACAUGCAAUAACCUUUGCCACUCGUGCUCCCGUUACAAAUGCAUGCACUUUGCUGUUAAAAAAAAUAUGGACGGUCCGCGUUUUAAAAGAAACAAAUUAGUCCAUAGUAUUUUAAUAGAGUUAUAGUCAACUUUACUACGCAUGCAUGGCAGUGUUCAGACAUAGAUGAGAAUUGAAAGACCAGAGAAGUCUGAAGAAAUAAUAUAGUAAACCGCGGAGAGGAGUGGCCCAGACCAUGAAAGAAGGGUUACAGAGAAAUAUGUGGCAAAGAGGAGCAAAAGUCUCUCACACGAGUGUAGAGUGGGUGGGGUGGCUGAUGUUUUUGGCUGUUGGCUUAGAACAUUGAGUAGGUAUGAUAGUAGCGCCACAUGUGUGAUGCCUAAGAAUUUUGUGAAUGCACUAAUAAAUAGUCCCUCAAUGAAAAAAAAAGAGAACAAAAACAUUCACCGGUAUUUAAUACUCUAGUCGCUUUUUAAACCGUCGCAGCCUGCUGAGCUUUUCUUUUUUUCCCACUCGAGCUUCUCCUAUUUAUGUAAUAGUAAUAGUGGGAUUCCAGCAAUUGGCCUUUAAUUUUUUGUUAACUAAGUUCCUAGCUAAAAAUUGUUCUUCAUGAAAGUUUGGAUUUUCUUCUCUAACUGUUAAUUAGAGUUUAUGUUUGAGCUAUUAAAUUAACACGUUUAUUAGAGUAAUUUAGAAUGCCUCACUAUUUUUAUGAACUUGAUAGAGGUAUUUCAAUCAUGAUCAGCAGUUUCUGGUAAUAUUUCAAGUAAGUAAAUAAUCGUGCGUAAAUUUAUAACAGGUGAACCAUUAAAUCAAGUUAAUAGACUUUAUAUUGAAAUUAAAAGUUUUAAAAAUUAGAUAAUGGUUUGUACAUUUUUUCCUCACAUUGUAGUUUUCAUGUUGACUCAUUCCUUCUUUGGAAUCAAAGAAUUAUAUAUUAAACGCUUAUAAAAGUGAUGUUUGCUUUCUUUUGUGGAAUUCCAUGCGCUGGUAGUAAUUAAAUAGAGGAGGUGUACGAGCUCUCAGUCUUGAUGAGUGAUAAUAUUUCUGAAGAAAAAAGUGUUUGAAAUUAAGUAUGUUCCGGGUUAUAAAGUAAAUUGUGAUUAAUUUUGAAAACUUAUUUUUCAAGGGAAAAAAAUUACAAUAAUUUAGUACAAGUUUAGGGUUAUCAUCCACUGAUAGUCGGGUUGUAGGCAACUCCCUUUCAAGGGGAGGCCGCAUGUUCGAUCUAGGGGUGGCAAUCCAACUCGCUGUUCGCGAGCCACAGCUCGUUGUUCAAUUCAAAAUGAGCUCGAGAUCGAAUCGCUCGUUUAGUAAACGAGCCUAACACGAGUUUGGAUCAACUCGGGCUCGGUUUGCUCGAUAACAGCUCGAAUACAUAUAUUUUAUUAUGUUAAAUAAUUUAUUUAAUUUAUAUUUAUAUUAUAAAUAUAAUAAUUAUAUAUAUAAUAUAUAUAUAUUUAUUAUUUAAUUUUUAGUAAAUAAAAAUAUAAAUGCGAGCCUCAAUUAUAAAAAAAACUUAUUUAUAUCUAAAGUUUCAACUAUUAGAUCAAAAUCUAAUGGAUAAAUUUAUAAAUUUAUUUUUCAUAUAUAUAUCAAUCUAAUUCUUUUAACUUAUUAUUCAUUGGCCAGCUCAGUUUCGACUCGUUUAUUAACGAGUCGAACACGAGCAGAAUUUUUUUGGCUUGAUACUUUAGUAAACACGAGCCUCGCUCGGUGUUCGGCUCGUUUACACCCUCUAGCUUUCGAUCUGGCUUAUAUGUGUAUAUAUUUAUCUUUUACCUCUAUUCUUAGAGAGGAGGAAAUCUACUAUAUCACACUUGUACUAUAUUAUCAGUAACAAGCCAAUCAUAUUUCUUUAUUUAAGAAAAAAUUAUGAAGAAAGUUUACUGUAUCAAACUUGUAUCAUAUUAUCAGUAACAAACCAAUCAUAUUUCUUUAUUUAAGAAAAAAGUAUAAUAAAAAUAUUUUUUUGUUAAUCAUGAUGGGAAGUAUCAAUCCAAGGGGGAUAUCGAUCUAAGGGAGAUAAUUCUAUUGGCGGAGGACGCCACGUCAACGAUAUACCGGUGCAUUCUAGAUUUUGGGUAUAGUAUGACCACUAUUCUGAAAAUAAUGUGCACCUAAGAGGAGUGUUGGGAGGACACGUGUCACCCCAUGGUCCCCCCAAACCCUCCUUUAAUGUAGUAGUAUAGAGUAUAGAUAUAGAUAUAGAUGUGUAAGAUGUAUAACUUGGAAUGACUAAAAUAGCCCUUAAUAAUUGGGGCAUACUUUUCAUAGUCAAAUUUGUACACCUAAUUAAAGCAAGAAGGUGCUUAAGUCAAAAGUUUUCAUUGGUUAAUUAGGGCGUGUUUCGUUCGUCUCCAUUUCACCCUAGAAUCGAAAUCGGAAUGGACGAAUCCAUUUGUCCGUAUUUGGUAUGCGGGAUGUCUAUUAUGAUUUCGAUUUCCGGAUGAAUGGGAAUUCCCCAAGUACCUUUUUUUCCAAUCCGACAUAGGAGACCGGAUUGGAAAUUAAAUCCGGACAGAAUGAAUUUGUUUGGAUUAAAUUUAAUUUUUUAAGUUUAUUUUUUUUAAUUAAAACAUAAGUUUAAGUUUAAAAAUUAUAUUUAUAAUUUUAAAUUUUAAUUUGAAUUUAAAUUAAAAAUUAAAAUUCAGUCAAGCAUUUUGAAUCUAAUUUAAUUAUAAUUUGAAUUUAAAUUUAAAUUUAAUUUAAAAUCUAAAGUUUUAUUCAAAUUUUAUUUAAAAUUUAAAUUAAAUUUAUGGAUUCAAAUUGAAAUUGAAAUUAUAAUUUUAAGUUUGAAUUUGAAUAUCAAAAUUUAGUUUUAUAUUUUGAAUUAUCUGUUCAAUCUCAAAUUUUAAUACUUUAAAAAAAGUUAUUUAAAAGUUUGACAUCAUUUUAAAAUUUUAACCUAUAUUUUUAAUAAUUAAUUUUCAGUUUGAAUUUAGACUAACAUAUUAUAAAGAUAAAAUUGAUAUAUUAAUUUGAUUACACUUUUUAUAUCUAUCUGAACUAAACACUGACAAUAAAAAUGGUUCAUUUCAAUUUCGAUUAAGGUGGCGAAUCAAACAUAAUGAUGUAAUGAAUCAUUCCGACUCUAUUUCCAGCUUAUUCUCAUUCCAAUUCCAAUACCGAUUCCAAUUUCGAACCAAAUAUAUCCUAAAUGUCAAGAGCCAACUGAUGAGCAUUAAUAGAAGUUUAAAAAA
rnacentral:lncRNA from 1 species